rnacentral:misc_RNA from 1 species
AAUAUAUGUAAAAUUUCUAUUUCCUAUCCGUUUAAUCUUUAAAGCAUUUGCUAAAUACUAUCUGCAUUUUCAACCAUUUGCAAUGGAUUGAAUUCCUCUUUAGAGGGUUUCAUAUCUGUCUGGAACUGUACUAAUAAGCCCUAGAUUUUAUUAAGACUCAUGCAAGUUAGGUAGAUAGCUUGGUAUAGCAUGAUGUACAACUGUCAUAUUAAUUUGUAAUAUUGGAUUAAAGUAGAAAUCUCCUUUAUUUUUAUUCACUUAUAUUCUAUUCUACAGGGAACAAGAUAAAAAUCUGUUAUAACUUAAAGAAUUUGCUGUUUUAACAUGUGAAGGAGCUAAUGUUAAUAAAGUUAAGCAU